UUAUUUUGAAAACAAACAUACUAAAACUGAAAGGAAAAAAAGAUUAGCAUGGUCUCUGUACAAGAAUGAGAUAUAAAUUUGUGUAACAUUUCAGUUUUUU
ensembl:snRNA U6 U6 spliceosomal RNA